rnacentral:lncRNA from 13 species
CCAAUGGGGGAAACCAUUGCAUUUCAGGAGGUGUGUCUUUUGGUUAUCUGAAGUUUCACAAAUGUCAUCAUUUUUGAGAAUGGCGGCUUAAAUGAAGC